rnacentral:SRP_RNA from 1 species
GCCGGGCGUGGUGGCGCUCGCCUGUAGUCCCAGCUACUUGGGAGGCUGAGGCAGGAGAAUCGCUUGAACCCAGGAGGCAGAGGUUGCAGUGAGCCAAGAUCGCGCCCUUGCAGUCCGGCCUGGGUGACAGAGUGAGACUCUGUCUCAA